rnacentral:rRNA from 1 species
UACGUAGGGGGCAAGCGUUGUCCGGAAUCAUUGGGCGUAAAGCGCGUGUAGGCGGCUUGGUAAGUCCGCUCUGAAAGCCCGGGGCUCAACCCCGGGAGGCGGGUGGAUACUGUCAAGCUCGAGUCCGGAAGAGGCGAGUGGAAUUCCUGGUGUAGCGGUGAAAUGCGCAGAUAUCAGGAGGAACACCAAUGGCGAAGGCAGCUCGCUGGGACGUGACUGACGCUGAGACGCAAAAGCGUGGGGAGCAAACAGG